UAGAAUAUGGUGUAAAGCGGUAGCACGGAGAAUUUUGAUUUCUUAGGUGUGGGUUCAAUUCCUAUAUUUCUAG
rnacentral:tRNA from 1 species